rnacentral:rRNA from 1 species
AUAUCAAUAAGCGGAGGAGAAGAAAUUAACUAAGAUUGCCCUAGUAACGGCGAGUGAAGCGGCAAAAGCUCAAACUGGAAAUCUAGUACCUUCGGUACUCGAAUUGUAAUCUAAAGAGGGUGUACUCACCGGGUGGUGGUGCAGAAGUGCUCACGAACGAGCCGCCAGAGAGGGUGACAGCCCCGUAUGUGGUACCACUACCUAACGAGUAUGUCUUUGUAGAGUCGGGUUGUUUUGUAUUGCAGCCCUAAGUGGGAGAUAAACUUCUUCUAAGGCUAAAUAUAUAUGGGAGACCGAUAGCGCACAAGUA